rnacentral:rRNA from 1 species
UACAGGGGGUGCAAACGUUGCUCGGAAUUAUUGGGCGUAAAGCGCGCGUAGGCGGCUACUUAAGUCGGAUGUGAAAGCCCUUGGCUCAACUGAGGAAGUGCACCCGAAACUGAGUGGCUAGAGUACGAAAGAGGGUCGCGGAAUUCCCGGUGUAGAGGUGAAAUUCGUAGAUAUCGGGAGGAACACCGGUGGCGAAGGCGGCCACCUGGACGGCAACUGACGCUGAGGAGCGAAAGCGUGGGGAGCGAACAGG